rnacentral:rRNA from 1 species
AUUGAACGCUGGAGGCAGGCCUAACACAUGCAAGUCGAGCGAGCGGCGGACGUGUGAGUAAUGUCUGGGAAACUGCCUGAUUGAGGGGGAUAACUACUGGAAACGGUAGCUACUACCGCAUACCAUCAGAUGUGCCCAGAUGGGAUGAGCUAGUAGGUGGGGUAAUGGCUCACCUAGGCGACGAUCCCUAGCUGGUCUGAGGGGAUGACCAGCCACAAUGGAACGGAUACACGUGCCAGACUCCUACGGAAGGCAGCAGUGGGGAAUAUUGCACAAUGGGCGCAAGCCUGAUGCAGCCAAGCCGCGUAUGUGAAGAAGCCCUUCGGGGUGGAAAGCACUUUCAGCGGGGAGGCGUUACCCGCAGAAGAAGCACCGGCUAACUCCGUGCCAGCAGCCGCGGUAAUUC